CACACUUGCCUUUUAGGCAUCCUCUCCCAAAAACUUUCAAGGGUCGCCCUCGGGCGGCCCUUUUUUUCGACCUUU
rfam:Sphingopyxis sp. MC1 contigEBMC1_8, whole genome shotgun sequence.